rnacentral:rRNA from 1 species
GUAGGGAAUAUUGCGCAAUGGAGGAAACUCUGACGCAGCGACGCCGCGUGGGUGACGAAGGCUUUCGGGUCGUAAAGCCCUGUCGGAAGGGAAGAAAAACACAAUGGCUAAUAUCCAUAGUGCUUGACGGUACCUUUAAAGGAAGCACCGGCUAACUACGUGCCAGCAGCCGCGGUAAUACGUAGGGUGCAAGCGUUGUUCGGAAUCAUUGGGCGUAAAGCGCGUGUAGGUGGCUAGUUAAGUCGGGUGUGAAAUCCCUGGGCUCAACCGAGGAAGUGCACUCGAAACUAGCUGGCUAGAGGAUGGUAGAGGAAGGUGGAAUUCCAAGUGUAGAGGUGAAAUUCGUAGAUAUUUGGAGGAAUACCGGCGGCGAAGGCGGCCUUCUGGGCCAUUCCUGACACUGAGACGCGAAAGCGUGGGGAGCAAACAGGAUUAGAAACCCGGGUAGUCC